rnacentral:rRNA from 1 species
UACAGAGGUGGCAAGCGUUGUUCGGAAUUACUGGGCGUAAAGGGCGCGUAGGCGGCCUUCUAAGUCAGACGUGAAAUCCCCCGGCUUAACCUGGGAACUGCGUCUGAUACUGGGAGGCUUGAGUAUGGGAGAGGGAUGUAGAAUUCCAGGUGUAGCGGUGAAAAUGCGUAGAUAUCUGGAGGAAUACCGGUGGCGAAGGCGGCAUCCUGGACCAUAACUGACGCUGAGGCGCGAAAGCUAGGGGGAGCAAACGGGG